AUUUUUUAAUUCCACUGUAAAGAAACUGAAAUUGGAUAUCAAAGAUGAUGCUUUAUGCAAAAAAGAAACAGAAUACCAAUGACUGUAAGAAAAUGUUCUACAACAAAUGAUUGAUGAAUGAAUACAGAAAGAAAUGGUUGAAAGAAAGGGAUUACCAUAAAAUUGGUAAACACAAUUAUAUACUUAAUGUUUGAAAGAGGAAUGAAGGGUAAACAUUCCUUAGACUCUUACUACUGAGGAAACCAGACCAGCCAUUCAAGUGAUGAACCCUGUGACAUCUAACAACUACUGAGCUUUCAGCUAUCAUGUAAGAAGUCUGCCUACCCUGGGGCCACCACAUGGAGUGACCACAUACUUACAUAUAGAGAGAGAUGGCCCAGAGUUCAAGCCUCCAGCUAUUGAAGGCUUCCAUCCUGGCUAACAGACAAUUGAAUGAAGAAGACUUUGAGAUGCUGUCAGCCCCAACCAUUGUCUGACCACAACUAGGUGAGGGACCUGCAUGCAGUCAGAACUACCAGCUGAGCCAAGCUGACCUCCAGACUUGGCAAAUCUUAUCCCUAACUCUUUCAUUAUUUGCUUGUGGUUUCCUUGCCAAAGAUGCGUGGAGACAUGAUGAUAAAUGAUGUGGAAUCUAGAGAUCAAAGAUGAGGUGUCCCUGCCUUCACAGAACCCACAGAAGAACUUGGAGAUAUAUCUGCAAGCUUUGCAAGAGGCUGGAUUAAGAUGUGGAUAUUCGGGACUUUCCUGGUGGCACAGUGGGUAAGAAUCCACCUGCCAGUGCAGGGG